rnacentral:rRNA from 1 species
AUUGAACGCUGGCGGCAUGCCUUACACAUGCAAGUCGAACGGCGGCACGGGAGCAAUCCUGGUGGCGAGUGGCGAACGGGUGAGUAAUAUAUCGGAACGUGCCCAGUAGUGGGGGAUAACUGCUCGAAAGAGCAGCUAAUACCGCAUACAACCUGAGGGUGAAAGGGGGGGAUCGCAAGACCUCUCGCUAUUGGAGCGGCCGAUAUCAGAUUAGCUAGUUGGUGGGGUAAAGGCCUACCAAGGCAACGAUCUGUAGUUGGUCUGAGAGGACGACCAGCCACACUGGGACUGAGACACGGCACAGACUCCUACGGGAGGCAGCAGUGGGUAAUUUUGGACAAUGGGCGCAAGCCUGAUCCAGCAAUGCCGCGUGCAGGAAGAAGGCCUUCGGGUUGUAAACUGCUUUUGUCAGGGAAGAAAUCCUCUAGGUUAAUACCCUUGGGGGGAUGACGGUACCUGAAGAAUAAGCACCGGCUAACUACGUGCCAGCCGCCGCAGUAACAC